rnacentral:rRNA from 1 species
AGGGAAUCUUCCACAAUGGGCGCAAGCCUGAUGGAGCAACACCGCGUGAGUGAAGAAGGGUUUCGGCUCGUAAAGCUCUGUUGUUGGAGAAUAACGGUGGUGAGAGUAACUGUUAACGCAGUUACGGUAUCCAACCAGAAAGUCACGGCUAACUACGUGCCCGCAGCCGCGGUAAUACGUAGGUGGCAAGCGUUAUCGGGAUUUAUUGGGCGUAAAGCGAGCGCAGGCGGUUGCUUAGGUCUGAUGUGAAAGCCUUCGGCUUAACCGAAGAAGUGCAUCGGAAACCGGGCGACUUGAGUGCAGAAGAGGACAGUGGAACUCCAUGUGUAGCGGUGGAAUGCGUAGAUAUAUGGAAGAACACCAGUGGCGAAGGCGGCUGUCUGGUCUGCAACUGACGCUGAGGCUCGAAAGCAUGGGUAGCGAACAGG